rnacentral:rRNA from 1 species
UACAGAGGUCUCAAGCGUUGUUCGGAUUCAUUGGGCGUAAAGGGUGCGUAGGCGGCGCGGUAAGUCGGGUGUGAAAUCUCGGAGCUUAACUCCGAAACUGCAUUCGAUACUGCCGUGCUUGAGGACUGGAGAGGAGACUGGAAUUUACGGUGUAGCGGUGAAAUGCGUAGAUAUCGUAAGGAAGACCAGUGGCGAAGGCGGGUCUCUGGGCCAUUACUGACGCUGAGGAGCGAAAGCGUGGGGAGCGAUCCGG